GCCUCUGUCCCUCACUCGAAUAACCUCUCUGCUCUGCACUCGAUCGCCACCGGUGUCGCCUCCCUUCUCACGAUAUCGAUCACCUGACGCUGAGCCACACUGAUCUCUUGGGCUAGCCUCUCCUGCUUGGAUGAUAGCUCCAACCAGGAGCUGACCCAUGUGGCGGCAGCCCGCAAGCUACAUCGAGCCAUGCCCUAGCUUUGGGUAAGGCCGCCAUCGCCAUUCUCUUCACUCCGCCUAUUCCCUAACCAAUCUAGUCAGUCAUCGUUUCCAUUCCCCUCUCUGUCGCGGGAUGCCACAACCCACAUCGCUGACUCCAUUGGUCGUAGGUACCGACUGUGGAAUACCCGACAGCUGCCACUCAUCCGGUCACGAGAAGAUCUAGGGCUCUAGCGACCAUCUUCUUGACAGAAUCCCGAACACCACAGUAGGCUGGUGAUCCCUGAGGUGUUGUGUGCUGCUGGGGUCAGAUUGGAAACUGCCGGAUCCCAACUUUGUGCUAUUGAGGACACUGAUUAAGAUGAGAAACACGACGUGGGAGUUAUCUGGCACGGAUUACGCUCACAGAGGUAGGGGAUUUAUGAAGUUGCUUGGAGCAUCCUGACUAUCAGUCUCAUUAGUCUCACGUCACAUUUGAGGAUGAUUUCUAUCUUUUUAUCUUCUGCUUUAUUUCCCUUUUGGUCUAUGGACCUGGACCGGGUAUUUAGCCUCGUGGCUUCAUUUUAUUAUUUUAGUAGUCAUUGUGUAAGCUAGAGUCGGCUCGCAGUAAAUUAUUUUGUGGAUUUGCGUUCGUUAUUUUGGGACUUAUGUUGUGUUUUGUUUCAACCGU